rnacentral:rRNA from 1 species
GACGAACGCUGGCGGCGUGCUCAACACAUGCAAGUCGAACGAUGAAGCCGGAGCUUGCUCUGGUGAAUUAGUGGCGAACGGGUGAGUAACACGUGAGUAACCUGCCCUUGACUCUGGGAUAACUGCGGGAAACUGUAGCUAAUACCGGAUACGACCCUCGGAGGCAUCUCCUGGGGGUGGAAAGAAUUUCGGUCAAGGAUGGACUCGCGGCCUAUCAGCUAGUUGGUGAGGUAAAGGCUCACCAAGGCGACGACGGGUAGCCGGCCUGAGAGGGUGACCGGCCACACUGGGACUGAGACACGGCCCAGACUCCUACGGGAGGCAGCAGUGGGGAAUAUUGCACAAUGGGCGCAAGCCUGAUGCAGCAACGCCGCGUGAGGGAUGACGGCCUUCGGGUUGUAAACCUCUUUCAGCACCGACGAAGCGCAAGUGACGGUAGGUGCAGAAGAAGGACCGGCCAACUACGUGCCAGCCGCCGCAGUAA